rnacentral:rRNA from 1 species
AGAGUUUGAUCCUGGCUCAGGAUGAACGCUAGCUACAGGCUUAACACAUGCAAGUCGAGGGGCAGCAUGAACUUAGCUUGCUAAGUUUGAUGGCGACCGGCGCACGGGUGAGUAACACGUAUCCAACCUGCCGAUGACUCGGGGAUAGCCUUUCGAAAGAAAGAUUAAUACCCGAUGGCAUAGUUCUUCCGCAUGGUAGAACUAUUAAAGAAUUUCGGUCAUCGAUGGGGAUGCGUUCCAUUAGGUUGUUGGCGGGGUAACGGCCCACCAAGCCUUCGAUGGAUAGGGGUUCUGAGAGGAAGGUCCCCCACAUUGGAACUGAGACACGGUCCAAACUCCUACGGGAGGCAGCAGUGAGGAAUAUUGGUCAAUGGACGAGAGUCUGAACCAGCCAAGUAGCGUGAAGGAUGACUGCCCUAUGGGUUGUAAACUUCUUUUAUACGGGAAUAAAGUGAGGCACGUGUGCCUUUUUGUAUGUACCGUAUGAAUAAGGAUCGGCUAACUCCGUGCCAGCAGCCGCGGUAAUACGGAGGAUCCGAGCGUUAUCCGGAUUUAUUGGGUUUAAAGGGAGCGUAGGCGGACGCUUAAGUCAGUUGUGAAAGUUUGCGGCUCAACCGUAAAAUUGCAGUUGAUACUGGGUGUCUUGAGUAUAGUAGAGGCAGGCGGAAUUCGUGGUGUAGCGGUGAAAUGCUUAGAUAUCACGAAGAACUCCGAUUGCGAAGGCAGCUUGCUGGACUGUAACUGACGCUGAUGCUCGAAAGUGUGGGUAUCAAACAGGAUUAGAUACCCUGGUAGUCCACACAGUAAACGAUGAAUACUCGCUGUUUGCGAUAUACAGUAAGCGGCCAAGCGAAAGCGUUAAGUAUUCCACCUGGGGAGUACGCCGGCAACGGUGAAACUCAAAGGAAUUGACGGGGGCCCGCACAAGCGGAGGAACAUGUGGUUUAAUUCGAUGAUACGCGAGGAACCUUACCCGGGCUUGAAUUGCAACUGAAUGAUGUGGAGACAUGUCAGCCGCAAGGCAGUUGUGAAGGUGCUGCAUGGUUGUCGUCAGCUCGUGCCGUGAGGUGUCGGCUUAAGUGCCAUAACGAGCGCAACCCUUAUCGAUAGUUACCAUCAGGUGAUGCUGGGGACUCUGUCGAGACUGCCGUCGUAAGAUGUGAGGAAGGUGGGGAUGACGUCAAAUCAGCACGGCCCUUACGUCCGGGGCUACACACGUGUUACAAU